UUCGAUUUGGAUUAAAUUCGGCGUUUUCGGCGGAUUUUGUGCCGUUGUUAUACAAUUAGAGGGGCUAGAAAAUAAUACCAUUUUGAUUCAGUUGAAUAAGGUGAGUGACAAUUUAUUCGUGCAAGACUUUAUCCCAGGUGGUGCUCACAGGCAUGGAACAGCCUGUGCCUUCAAACAUGGUGAUGCCACCUAAAGCAGUUCCAGCUACAGAUAUGCAGGUUCUGCCGCCGACGCAGGCUGCUCCGCCUCUACGUCUCCGAAGCCGGUCA